rnacentral:rRNA from 1 species
AACGUAGGAGGCGAGCGAUAUCCGGAUUUACUGGGCGUAAAGCGCGUGCAGGCGGCGGUGCAAGUUGGGCGUGAAAUCUCCUGGCUUAACUGGGAGGGGUCGUCCAAUACUGCAUGGCUUGAGGGCAGGAGAGGGAAGUGGAAUUUCCGGUGUAGCGGUAAUAUGCGCAGAUAUCGGAAGGAACACCAGUGGCGAAGGCGGCUUCCUGGCCUGUACCUGACGCUGAGACGCGAAAGCUAGGGGAGCGAACGGG